UACGUAUGGACCGAGCGUUGUCCGGAAGCAUUGGGCGUAAAGGGAACGUAGGCGGUCUAGUAGUUAGAAGUGAAAUGCAUUAGCUCAACUAAUGUAAGCUUUUAAAACUGCUAGACUUGAGAGAUUGAGGGGAAAGUGGAAUUCCUAGUGUAGCGGUGAAAUGCACAGAUAUUAGGAGGAAUACCAGUGGCGAAGGCGACUUUCUCGAAAUCAUCAGACGCUUAGGUACGUGAGCGUGGGUAGCAAACAGG
rnacentral:rRNA from 1 species